UGUCUUUGGUAAGGAGAGUAAUUUAAAAUGGUGAGGAUGAGCACAAUCUAAAAUGAGGUGAGUAAUCUACGAUGGUGAGGAGGAGAGAAAUGUACGACGGUGAGGAGGAGGAGAGUAAUCUAAAAUGGUGAGGAGGAGAGUAAUCUAAGAUGGUGAGGAGGAGAGUAAUCUAAGACUGUGACGAUGAUGAGAAUAAUCUAAGAUUGUGAGGUGAAGUAGAACAAUCUAAGAUUGUGAGGAGGAUGAGAGUCAUCUAACAUUGUGAUGACGAUGAGAAAAAUCUAAGAUUGUGAGGAGGCUGAGAAUAAUCUAAGAUUGUGAGGAGGCUGAGAAUAAUCUAAGAUUGUGAUGACGAUGAGAAUAAUCUAAGAUUGUGAGGAGGAGGGGAGUAAUCUAAAAUGGUGAUGAGAAGGGUAAUAUGGAGAUGAGGAGAGUAAUAUGGUGAUGAGGAGAGUAAUAUGUUGAUGAGGAGACUAAUAUGGAGGUGAGGAGAGCAAUAUGGCGGUGAGGAGAGUAAUAUGGUGAUGAGGAGACUAAUAUGGAGAUGAGGAGAGUAAUAUGGUGAUGAGGAGAGUAAUAUGGAGACGAGGAGAGUAAUAUGGAGAUGAGGAGAGUAAUAUGGAGAUGAGGAGAGUAAUAUGGCGGUGAGGAGAGUAAUAUGGAGAUGAGGAGAGCAAUAUGGCGGUGAGGAGAGCAAUAUGGAGAUGAGGAGAGUAAUAUGGAGAUGAGGAGAGAGAGCAAUAUGGAGAUGAGGAGAGUAAUAUGGAGAUGAGGAGAGUAAUAUGGAGAUGAGGAGAGCAAUAUGGAGAUGAGGAGAGCAAUAUGGCGAUGAGGAGAGUAAUAUGGAGAUGAGGAGAGCAAUAUGGAGAUGAGGAGAGCAAUAUGGCGGUGAGGAGAGUAAUAUGGUGAUGAGGAGAGUAAUAUGGAGAUGAGGAGAGUAAUAAAGAGAAUAGGAGAGCAAUAUGGUGAUGAGGAGAGCAAUAUGGAGAUGAGGAGAGUAAUAUGGAGAUGAGGAGAGUAAUAUGGAG
rnacentral:lncRNA from 1 species